rnacentral:rRNA from 1 species
UACGGAGGGCGCAAGCGUUGCUCGGAAUUACUGGGCGUAAAGCGCGUGCAGGCGGUCGAGUAAGUCGGUUGUGAAAUCCCCAGGCUCAACCUGGGAACUGCAUCCGAAACUGCUCGGCUAGAGUCUCGGAGAGGGAGGCGGAACUCCCAGUGUAGGGGUGAAAUCCGUAGAUAUUGGGAAGAACACCGGCGGCGAAAGUGGCCUCCGGGACGAUGACUGACGCUGAGACGCGAAAGCGUGGGGAGCAAACAGG